CCAUAGGGACUGAAACUAUGUCUGGUUUUUACAACAUAUCAAAAACUUUUAAAGCAUCUUCUGUACACUACUAAAUUUUGCAUGCACAUCAAUCAAAAUAUUAGCCACAGAGGCUAUGAAAUUGCAGCCAAACUUAACCACAUGGGCAUGAACCCACUUCCUUUACCCUAGUGCCCUUAUACUUGCACACCCAUUAAAAAACACUCAAGUAAGUAAAAUGGGUAGGUUCAAACCAGCAAUUUGCAUCUCCAAAAAUUGUCUAAAGGUGAUCUAUUCAUCUCUAAAAAAAAACCAAACUGCAGCUUCUGAUUGAUUGAUUUGAGAAAAACGAAUAAUCAAAAUGGUCCCCAAGAGGCGUUUUAUCACAUGCUUUUUGGCAUCAGAAAAAGAUCCCAUUUGGCGUACAAUUUAGUUAAUCAAGAAAAUAUCAGAUUUUAACUUUGAAAUUCAGAAAGUAUGAGUGGAACAAUGUUCCUUUCUUCCAUUAACACAAUGGGGUGCAUCUCUUGAGAAAUUUGGAGUUGGUGUCAGCAUCAAUGGGCAUGUCUAUUAGGUCAAGAAUGUGGAGAUUUUGGGCUGAAGACUUGCUUUUAGAAGAAGGCGUUUGGGUUAAAAGUUCAAUUAUAGAGAGCUAAAGGUCACUAUGACUCUGUUUCAGAGGUGCCCAUGGUCUGAGAGAGAAGGAAGAGGUGGAGCUGCAGAAAAUUAGGGCUCUAAGGUUUGGUUUGUUAGAGCUCCAUUGGAGCCAUAUGGGGGUUUUGACGAAAGGUACGUU
rnacentral:lncRNA from 1 species